AAGAAACAGAAACCUUCUGAAACAUCUGGGCCUAGUCAUACCUCAGUUAGACUAGAUUAAGAGGAACACCCUAACCAGACUGCAUAUACCUGUGCUCAAGGUAAUUUGCAAAUAUUUGCAGGCAAGUUUUCACCAGGCUGAACUGCAGGCAGAGCUCCCACUGACUUCACAGAGCGCUCCCAGGGGACAGGCAGCAAGGUAAAAUAAAAAUU
rnacentral:lncRNA from 1 species